AUUGAACGCUAACGGUAUGCUUAACACAUGCAAGUCGAACGGCAGCACAAUAGUAGCAAUACUAUGGGUGGCGAGUGGCGGACGGGUGAGUAAUAUAUAGGAAUCUGCCUUGUAGUGGGGGAUAACCUGGGGAAACUCGGGCUAAUACCGCAUAAUCUUUACGAAGCAAAGCGGGGGAUCGUAAGACCUUGCGCUAUAAGAUGAGCCUAUAUUGGAUUAGCUAGUUGGUGGGGUAAAGGCCUACCAAGGCAACGAUCCAUAGCUGGUCUGGGACGAUGAUCAGCCACACUGGGACUGAGACACGGGCCAGAAUCCGACGGGAGGCAGCAGUGGGGAAUAUUGGACAAUGGGCGAAAGCCUGAUCCAGCAAUACCGUGUGUGUGAAGAAGGCCUUCGGGUUGUAAAGCACUUUUAGUGGGAAAGAACAGCUCAAGACUAAUACUCUUGAGCCUUGACGUUACCCACAGAAAAAGCACUGGCUAACUCUGUGCCAGCCGCCGCGGUAAAAC
rnacentral:rRNA from 1 species